UACGUAGGGGGCGAGCGUUGUCCGGAAUCAGUGGGCGUAAAGCGCGUGUAGGCGGCCCGGUAAGUCCGCUGUGAAAGUCCAGGGCUCAACCCUGGGAUGCCGGUGGAUACUGUCGGGCUCGAGUCCGGAAGAGGCGAGUGGAAUUCCUGGUGUAGCGGUGAAAUGCGCAGAUAUCAGGAGGAACACCAAUGGCGAAGGCAGCUCGCUGGGACGUGACUGACGCUGAGACGCGAAAGCGUGGGGAGCAAACAGG
rnacentral:rRNA from 1 species